AGGCUACUGCUAUUGGAAUUCGACUAAGCCAUGCGAGUCAAGGUGUCUUCGGACGCCGGCAAACGGCUCAGUAACACGUAGGUAAUCUACCCUCAGGACUGAGAUAACCCCGGGAAACUGGGGCUAAUACCAGAUAGAUAAAAGAUACUGGAAUGUUCUUUUAUCCAAAGCUUUUGUGCCUGAGGAUGAGCCUGCGCCCGAUUAGGUAGUUGGUGGGGUAAUGGCCCACCAAGCCUGCGAUCGGUACGGGCAGUGGGAGCUGUAGCCCGGAGUUGGGGACUGAGACAAGGCCCCAGGCCCUACGGGGCGCAGCAGGCGCGAAACCUCUGCAAUGCGGGAAACCGUGACAGGGGGAUUCCAAGUGCUCACGCAUUGCAUGGGCUGUUCUUUGGUCUAAGUAACCAGAGGAGUAAGGGCUGGGCAAGACCGGUGCCAGCCGCCGCGGUAACACCGGCGGCUCGAGUGGUAACCGUUAUUAUUGGGUCUAAAGGGUCUGUAGCCGGCCGGAUAAGUCUCUUGAGAAAUCUGGCAGCUUAACUGUCAGGCUUUCAGGAGAUACUGUCUGGCUCGAGGCCGGGAGAGGUGAGAGGUACUUCAGGGGUAGGGGUGAAAUCUUGUAAUCCUUGAAGGACCACCAGUGGCGAAGGCGUCUCACCAGAACGGACCUGACGGCAAGGGACNAAAGCUAGGGGCACGAACCGGAUUAGAUACCCGGGUAGUCCUAGCCGUAAACGAUACUCGCUAGGUGUCGGCCACGGUGCGACCGUUGUCGGUGCCGUAGGGAAGCCGUGAAGCGAGCCACCUGGGAAGUACGGCCGCAAGGCUGAAACUUAAAGGAAUUGGCGGGGGAGCACCACAACGGGUGGAGCUUGCGGUUUAAUUGGAUUCAACGCCGGAAAUCUUACCGGGACCGACAGCAAUAUGAAGGCCAGGCUGAAGACUUUGCCGGAUUAGCUGAGAGGUGGUGCAUGGCCGUCGUCAGUUCGUACUGUGAAGCAUCCUGUUAAGUCAGGCAACGAGCGAGACCCACGCCCACAGUUGCCAGCGUACUCUCUGGAGUGACGGGUACACUGUGGGGACCGCCGCUGCUAAAGCGGAGGAAGGAAUGGGCAACGGUAGGUCAGUAUGCCCCGAAUAUCCCGGGCUACACGCGAGCUACAAUGGUUGGUACAAUGGGUAUCUACCCCGAAAGGGGACGGGAAUCUCCUAAAACCAAUCUUAGUUCGGAUUGAGGGCUGCAACUCGCCCUCAUGAAGCUGGAAUCCGUAGUAAUCGCGUUUCAACAGAACGCGGUGAAUACGUCCCUGCUCCU
rnacentral:rRNA from 1 species